rnacentral:rRNA from 1 species
AUACGGAGGGUGCAAGCGUUAUCCGGAUUUACUGGGUUUAAAGGGUACGCAGGCGGUAAUUUAAGUCAGUGGUGAAAGCCUACAGCUCAACUGUAGAACUGCCAUAGAAACUGAAUUACUUGAGUAGGGUAGAGGUAGGCGGAAUACAACAUGUAGCGGUGAAAUGCAUAGAUAUGUUGUAGAACACCGAUUGCGAAGGCAGCUUACUAAACCAUUACUGACGCUCAUGUACGAAAGCGUGGGGAGCGAACAGGAUUAGAAACCCUUGUAGUCC